rnacentral:lncRNA from 1 species
CAUUGCCAGUUUCAGCCCUGGGAGGUUCUGAGUGGUAGGGAAAGGCACGUGAAGGGGAGCAGCUAGUCGGAUGGGUGCUUCCUGAGGCAGUGUGAGGCCAGACCUCGCAGCACAGGGAACGGCAAGCUGAAAAUGCCAAGUUAGGGAAGUUUGUCACAUUUCACCAUAAUUCUUAAGUUUUUAAGUAAAAAUUAAUUACCAAAAAGUCAUACCAUUUUUAUAAUAUUACAGUUUCAAAAAUUGGCCAAUUAUAGAUUCAGACCAUUAUGAUGGUGUUACUAUCACCCGGAAGCCAUUGGUGAGUGAAAUAACUUCCUGAAUGACCCUAUCUGUCUUGACAGUGCGGCCCUAUUAUUAAAUCCCUCCCUGGGCGGGGCAGGGCUCGGUGGCAGAGGCUUGCCUAGCUGGUGUGAGGCCCUGGGUUCUGGGUUCCAUCCUCAGCACCACACGAUCAGUCAGUCAGUCAAUCAGUAAAAAUUAUUGUGUCUAUCUACAACUAAAAAACAAAGGUUUCUAAACAGUGACAAAGAUUGGAAUGUGAAGGAAUUGCUGUUUAAUUGUAAAGUUCUAAUGUUCAGAAAUGACAGUUGCCACUGCUCAUCAUGGUGGUUGCAUCUGGUGUUGUAUCUCUGUGAAGGCUAAGACCGGUUGUUCAAGUUGGUGUGACUUGAUUUUAAUAGUUUGAACCAUCUUCACAACAUUUAUUUUCCUUCCAGAAUUGCUUUGUCAGAUUUUUUUUUUUCCCCAUGUAAUAAUGGAAUCUAGUGUGUGGCUUCCUGAAAAAUAUCUGACACUGCUCAAAACUGUCAAGAUCAUAAAAACAAAACAGUGCUGGACAUGGUGGCUACACCUGUCAUCCCAGCGACCUGGGAGGCUGAAGCAGGAGGAUCACAAGUUCAAAGCCAGCCUCAGCAGCUUAGUGAAACCCUGUCUCAAAAUAAAGAAUAUUUUAAAAGGGCUGUGGAUGUGGCUCAGUGGUAAAGCAUCCAUGGGUUCAAUGCCCAGUACCAAGAAAAAAAAAUUGUUCAUGCCAAGCAGAGCUCACAGGAGACAGGACAACUGAAUAUAACAUGUCCUGGAUGGGUCACAGAGCAGAGAAAGAAAAGAUGUUAAGAAACACUAGAGAAAUCAGAGUGAUUUGGACUCAAUAUGGACUUGAGCUAAUACUUACAUAUCAAUACUGGCUCAUUAAUCGUGACAAAUGUGCCAGAGUAAUGUAAGAUGUUAAUAGUAAGGGAAGAUAGACGUGGGGUGCCGUGGUGUGAUUGUGUCCCCCCAGAAUCAAGUGCUGGAACUCAUCUCGGGGGCAGCAGUGUUGGAAUGGGGCUGGUGGGGGUAUUUAGGUCCCCAUAGCUCCCGCCUCCUGAAGGCCCUAAGCAGGAUCCUCCCUUCCACUCUUCUGCUGUGUGAGGCCCCGUCCUCCAAGGCCGCUCCUGAUCCUGGACUUCCCAGCCUCCAGAGCUGUGAGAAGUAAAUUCUCUUCUUUGAAUCACUAGUGUGUGGUAUUCUGUUACAGCUGCAGGAAAUGGACCAAGACUUGAGGCACGUGGGAUUUGGGGGGAUAUUUUCACACUUUUUCUGCAAGUGUAAAAUCAUCAUGUAUUUUAAAAAUAUGUUGGUGUGUUCAAACAACUAAUACCACUCAAUGCACGGAGGCUAAUAUACCAAGUAAUAGAAACUGGUUUUCCAAGAGUGCCCAGCUGAGGAGGGGAAGCCUGUGGGCUCAGACUGAGGUGCUGCUGCCAAGAGCGCCUCGGAGCCACUGCCUUGCUGGGGAGUGCGGUGCAUUCUCAGGGCUGAAAAUGCCCAGGAUGCGGACACGCCCCCUUGCUGCCGCUCCACUUGUCCUUGUGCAAAAUCAAUGCUGUUUCAGUGGAGACUUAUUCACAUUUUGGAUUCCCUCUUUUCCUGGGCUGCUAGGGUACCAUCAGGGUGAGGUGGCUUUCUGCAGCCAGCAGUCAUGUGGGUGGACCCUAUGCUCUGCAGGGAACGGCAAGCUGAAAAUGCCAAGAUAGGGAACUUUGUCACCACACGCUGUGUUGCCAGCGUGUGUGCGUGCAGGUAUUUGAUGGGCCACAUAGGGUGUUCAACACUUCAUCACAACAUGGGCUUCGAGCAGGACACACACCUGCAGCUCCUCAGGCUGAGGCAGGAGAUCAUAAGGUGAAGAUCAGCCUCAGCAACUUGAUGAAAUCCUAUCUCAAAAAAUAAAAGGCUGUGGGAUGUGGCUCAGUGAUAAAGUACACUUGGGUUCAUUCUCUAGUACCCAGAACAAUAAAGUGAAAUAUUUUGUUAGAUUAUUUUGCCCCACUGUAGGCAAAUGCUUGUGUUUCAAGCGUGUUCAAGGUGGGCUAGGCUAGGCUAGGUGUGUUAAUGCACUUUCCAUUUACAAUGAGCUCGUCAGGAUGUAAGCCCUGUAAGUUGAGGAUGAGUAUAAAAAGAACUAGCCUCACCCCCAAGUGUACAUAGUCACCUCCAUCUGGAGCAAAUGACCGGAAAAAAUGUAAAGUUGAUACUAUUAUAUACCACAAUAUGUAACAAAGUCUUUUUUCAGGUGAUUUUAAG